rnacentral:rRNA from 1 species
CGUACGGCGCGAGCGUUGUCCGGAAUUAUUGGGCGUAAAGAGCUCGUAGGUGGCUUGUCGCGUCUGCCGUGAAAGCCCGGGGCUUAACUGUGGGUCUGCGGUGGAUACGGGCCGGCUAGAGGUAGGUAGGGGCAAGCGGAAUUCCUGGUGUAGCGGUGAAAUGCGCAGAUAUCAGGAGGAACACCGGUGGCGAAGGCGGCUUGCUGGGCCUUACCUGACGCUGAGGAGCGAAAGCGUGGGGAGCGAACAGGAUUAGAUACCCUGGUAGUCCACGCUGUAAACGUUGGGCGCUAGGUGUGGGGUCCUUCCACGGGUUCCGUGCCGUAGCUAACGCAUUAAGCGCCCGCCUGGGGAGUACGGCCGCAAGGCUAAAACUCAAAGGAAUUGACGGGG